rnacentral:rRNA from 1 species
AGCGAACGCUGGCGGCAGGCCUAACACAUGCAAGUCGAACGAACUCUUCGGAGUUAGUGGCGGACGGGUGAGUAACACGUGGGAACGUGCCUUUAGGUUCGGAAUAGCUCCUGGAAACGGGUGGUAAUGCCGAAUGUGCCCUUCGGGGGAAAGAUUUAUCGCCUUUAGAGCGGCCCGCGUCUGAUUAGCUAGUUGGUGAG